UACAGAGGUCCCAAGCGUUGUUCGGAUUCACUGGGCGUAAAGGGUGCGUAGGUGGUGAGGUAAGUCGGAUGUGAAAUCUCCGGGCUCAACCCGGAAAUGGCAUUGGAAACUACCUUGCUUGGGGAUUUGAGGGGGGAUUGGAAUACUUGGUGUAGCAGUGAAAUGCGUAGAUAUCAAGUGGAACACCAGUGGCGAAGGCGAAUCCCUGGAAAAUACCUGACACUGAGGCACGAAAGCUAGGGGAGCAAACAGG
rnacentral:rRNA from 1 species